ensembl:lncRNA
AUUCGUUCCAACAGGCCCGACUAGAUAGUGACGAGGACGCGGAGCAGCUCAGCCUGCUCUCAAAUGCCUCCACUACCAAACUCAUGUCUCUUCACUCCUGAAACAUUAGUCUUCCUUCAGGCUCUUCUGUGUUCACUUUCCUUGGUACUACUCUUGUCAUGGUUAUUUCGACGAUUUAAGUUCAAACAGCGUGGGAGCGAAAAAAGGGGUGAAGACUUUGUGGACCAUGCCUUAGUUCAACAUACUGAGGAGACCUGCACUUGCAACUGCCUACAACACUGCUGUGAUAUAGCUAAGACUCUCAUGCGAAACAGUGAAGACAGUGGACAGGAACAUUAUCUGUGCAAUUUACACCUCCUGCAGUCCGAGGACCCACACACCUCUGGUUCGCUCAGUGAUCGGAACAAGUCAGGACUUCACAAAUGCGACUGGAAGAGGGAAGGGAACUGGAAAGAACAUACUGAGGAGACCUGCACUUGCAACUGCCUACAACACUGCUGUGAUAUAGCUAGUGAUAUAGACAGUGGACAGGAACAUUAUCUCUGCAAUUUACACGUUCUGCAGUCCGAUGAUUAUUAUUCAGGUGGAAAAACUAGCUGGAAAAUCAUUCAAGACAGUGAAACACUUCCUCCAGCUGCUGAUCGGGAUUUCCCCUCUGAGAGGAGUGGCGAGGACAGCGUUCUGAGGAGGCUUGUGUGGAAGGUAUGGAGAUUCAUCCUCCAAAUCCCUUACACCAUAACUGGGAUGUUUCUGUGGAUGGUGUGGAGAUUCAUCCUCCAAGUCCUUUACAUCAUGACUGGGAUGUUUCUGUGGAGAAUGUUGAGCCGUAGCUCUCACACUGACAGUGAUGGACUAUCAAGGGAUCCCUCUAGAUCAGUGACCCGACCAAAGAACUGUGUUAGAACCCCAGGUGCUGUUCAGGCAGUACUCGGGGCAGUGCCUGAUCACAAACCCGCCAGUGUAAUUGAGGAGAACUACGGAGGCCUGCAAAGCAAAAGCUCAAUAGAGAUGAACUUAAGACAGAAGCAUCUGGAGUACCUUUUGGGGGCAUUCACAGUCUCCAAACAGUCCAUGAAACUGUUACCCUCUAAACCGUCCAGUCCUCCGUGGCUUUGGAGAUCGUUAGAGGACACAGAAGAGAAUCUGACUGGGGCAGAAACACCUUUCCUUAGCCAAGAAACCAGAGCCAAGUUGGAGUUCAACAUAAAAAACAAGAUCGUGCAACGGCUUUUGGGUCUCCCUGCGGUCGUGCAGCAUUCACUGGACACCUUUAUUCCCGAGGCCCCGGAGCUCAAGGUGAGCAAAGCGCUUCCAAAGCCACAGUGUGAUGUUCAGGUGAUGACCUGUGACGCCCCCCUCCUGACUGUGGAGCAGAAGUGUAAACUGAUGAGUUGUGUGAGCCAAAAACAGGAUCUCAAGACCCAAGGUUACCCUGAGAUUGUGAUGGAGUCACUCGAACCAUUUGACAUGCCUGCAUCCAUGGCAGAAGAGCUGAGGCAGAGAGACAUGACUGACCAGGCAAAGGACACAACUGACCAGGCAAAGGACACAACUGAGUCGACUCCUGCAAAGCACAAGAAGGAACGACGUAGAUCUUUAUUGAGUCAACUAAAGCGGCAUUUAAAGAAACAGCCACAAAAAGAGUGACACCCCUCUCAGCAUUUGACUGUGUAUUACAGUUUUUCUCGAUUGUUUAAGCACG